GUCAUCGUCAGCAUUCAUAACCAGCGCUGAGAGGCGUUGGUGGUGAGAAUCCAGCCCUGGUGCAGCUCCAGGUGACUGCUGCCUUCUCCCAGAGCCUCAGCACACACUGCAUGAACAUCACCAUGCAGGGGCUGCCAUCACUCUGCUGGAUAACCAGCAAUUUAUCACAUUCCCUCCCUGCUCAUCCUCUCUAAUAUACCAUCGUGAUGGUGAAUGUCACUUGCUCAGGAAGGACAAGCCUUCAUCAAAACUGUGCUGGAGCAAUCGAAGAGCAGAUUGGGACCUACCUUGCAGAGAAGAAAAGGGGAUGAGGAAUCUGCUUACACCAUUAUAUUGACCUUCUGCUUUGGGUGCAAUAAAAAUCUGGAGGAGAUCAAACUCUGGCUCAUUUGGCACAGGAAAACCAAGCAACCAUGCAGGACUGGAAACCUCUAG
rnacentral:lncRNA from 1 species